ACGCACGCUGGCGGCGUGCUUAACACCUGCAAGUCGAACGGUGAACGAGGGAGCUUGCUCCCUCCGGAUCAGUGGCGAACGGGUGAGUAACACGUGAGCAAUCUGCCCCGAACUCUGGGAUAAGCGUUGGAAACGACGUCUAAUACCGGAUACGACGCGGGAGGGCAUCCUCUCCGCGUGGAAAGAACUUCGGUUCGGGAUGAGCUCGCGGCCUAUCAGCUUGUUGGUGAGGUAACGGCUCACCAAGGCGACGACGGGUAGCCGGCCUGAGAGGGUGACCGGCCACACUGGGACUGAGACACGGCCCAGACUCCUACGGGAGGCAGCAGUGGGGAAUAUUGCACAAUGGGCGCAAGCCUGAUGCAGCAACGCCGCGUGAGGGACGACGGCCUUCGGGUUGUAAACCUCUUUUAGCAGGGAAGAAGCGAAAGUGGCGGUACCUGCAGAAAAAGCACCGGCUAACUACGUG
rnacentral:rRNA from 1 species